ACUCCUACGGGAGGCAGCAGUGGGGAAUCUUAGACAAUGGGGGGCAACCCUGAUCUAGCCAUGCCGCGUGAGUGACGAAGGCCUUAGGGUCGUAAAGCUCUUUCGCUGGAGAAGAUAAUGACGGUAUCCAGUAAAGAAACCCCGGCUAACUCCGUGCCAGCAGCCGCGGUAAUACGGAGGGGGUUAGCGUUGUUCGGAAUUACUGGGCGUAAAGCGCGCGUAGGCGGAUUGGAAAGUUGGGGGGUGAAAUCCCGGGGCUCAACCCCGGAACGGCCUCCAAAACUCCCAGUCUUGAGUUCGAGAGAGGUGAGUGGAAUUCCGAGUGUAGAGGUGAAAUGCGUAGAGAUCGGAAGGAACACCAGUGGCGAAGGCGGCUACCUGGACUAAUACUGACACUGAGGCACGAAAGCGUGGGUAGCAAACAGGAUUAGAUACCCUGGUAGGUC
rnacentral:rRNA from 1 species